GCCCCCAUAGCUCAGGGGAUAGAGCACUGCCCUCCGGAGGCAGGGGCGGCAGUUCGAAUCUGCCUGGGGGCACAA
rnacentral:tRNA from 12 species